AUGGAGUCGGCUCUCGUCAGCGUGGCGACCGGGGUCCUGAAACCGGUCCUCGAGAAGCUGGCCUCUCUGCUAGGCAACGAGUACAAGCGUUUCAAGGGAGUGCGCAAGGAGAUCAAGUCUCUCACUCAUGAGCUCGCCGCCAUGGAGGCUUUUCUCCUCAAGAUGUCCGAGGUGGAGGAUCCCGAUGCGCAGGAUAAAGUCUGGAUGAAUGAGGUGCGGGAGCUGUCCUACGACAUGGAGGAUGCCAUCGACGACUUCAUGCAAAGCGUCGGUGACAAAGAUGAAAAGCCAGAUGGCUUCAUUGAGAAGAUCAAGAACUCCCUAGGGAAGUUGGGGAAAAUGAAGGCCCGUCGUCAAAUUGCAAAUGAGAUCCAAGAGCUGAAGAAACUUACCAUUGAGGUGGGCAAGAGGAAUGAAAGGUACAAGACUCGUGAGGCCUUCUCCAACACCAACAAUACAACUUUUGACCCUAGAGCUCUUGCUAUAUUUGAGCAAGCCUCAAAACUUGUCGGAAUUGAUCAACCCAAGGCUGAGAUAAUGAAAUUACUCAAUGAAGAGGAUGGAAAUUUGUCGGCAAAACAACAACUGAAGUUGGUCUCCGUUGUUGGAUGUGGAGGAUCGGGCAAGACAACUCUUGCAAACCAAGUCUAUCAAGGGCUCAAAGAGGAAUUUGAGUGUAAGGCUUUCGUAUCAGUGUCGCGAAACCCAGACCUGAAAAAUAUCUUGAGAACCAUUCUCAGUGAAGUCAACGGUCAAGGUUAUGCUAGCACAAAAGCAGGAAGUAUACAACAACUCAUCAGCAAGAUCACCGAUGUUCUAGCACACAAAAGGUAUUUUGUUGUUGUUGACGAUAUAUGGGAUGUGGAUGCAUGGGAUGUUAUUAAGUGUGCAUUCCCCAUAACAUGUUCUGGCAGUAUAAUAAUCACCACUACUCGUAUAAAUGAUGUCGCAGAUUUAUGUCGGUCAUCAUGUAGUGGUUGUAUCUAUAAUAUGAGGCCACUUGAUGUGGUGCAUUCAAGGCAACUAUUUCACAAAAGAUUGUUCGAUUCCAAUGAAGAUUGCCCUUCAAACCUUCAAAAAGUUUUUGAUGAAAUUUUGAAGAAAUGCGGUGGCUUACCUUUGGUGAUCAUUGCCAUUUCUGGUUUGUUGUCUACCAUGGAAAUAACAGAACAUAUGUGGAAUCAGGUGAAUGAUUCAAUUGGUCGUGCACUUGAGAGGAAUCCUAGCGUGGAAGCAAUGAUAAAGAUAUUGUCACUUAGCUACUUUGAUCUUCCUCCCCAUCUGAAAACGUGUCUCUUGUAUUUGAGUAUAUUUCCAGAAGAUUCUGUUAUUGAGAAGAGAGCCUUAAUAUGGAGAUGGAUUGCUGAGGGAUUCAUUCAUAAAGAUGGCAGAUACACGGCGUACGAGUUAGGAGAAAGGUGUUUUAAUGAGCUCCUCAAUAGGAGUUUGAUCCAAGUUGCAUGGACAAAUGAAUAUGGUAAGGUGGAGAGUUGUCGAGUUCAUGACAUAAUUCUUGAUUUCAUCAUAUCGAAGUCCAUUGAAGAGAACUUUGUCACUUUAAUUGGUGUUCCGUAUAUAGUUGGCGGGACGCAAAGCAAAGUUCGUCGUCUCUCUCUCCAAGUUGAUGAUGAAGGAAAUUCUAUAAGAAAGACUGGCAUGGUAUUGUCUCAUGUCCGAUCACUCAAUGUGUUUGGGCAUUCGUUGGAAAUCCCUUCUCUCAAUGAGUUUGGGCACUUGCGUGUUUUGGAUGUUGAGCUUUGCCACCAAGUGGAAAACCACCAUAUUACAAAUAUUGGGAGAUUGUUUCAGUUAAGGCGCCUGAACCUGAGAUGGACAGAAGUAAGUGAGCUCCCAGAAGAAAUCGGCCAUCUACGUUGCUUAGAGAUGCUGGACAUAAGAGGUACCCUGGUACAAGAAUUACCAUCAACUAUUGUGAAUCUUGGAAGAUUGGUGGAUAUGCUUCAUGACAGUAGUGUUAAGUUCCCAAAUGGAAUUGAAAAGAUGCAAGCAUUGGAGAUAUUGGAAGAGGUCAAUGUCUAUAGGCAGCCAUUUAACUUCCCGCAAGAACUUGGACAGCUACAGAACCUGAGGAAGCUGGCCCUCAAUUUUGAAGGUGAUUCCAUAUAUGUACAUAGAGUUAAACAGGGAAAGAAAGAGUGCACUAAUAAAGCUAUUGCUUCUGCUCUGGGCAAUCUAGGCACUCAGAACAUCCGUUCUCUAAGUACUAUUUGUGGGGGGCGCUUCUUACGACAGGGACCAUUGUGCCCUGUUCCUCUUAGCCUCCAGGAAUUCAUCAUGACCAAGGGCUCACAUGUGGAGCAGGUUCCGGAAUGGGUGAGUUCCCUUGUAAACCUCCAGCUGUUGCGCCUACAGGUGAAGAAAUUCACGCAGAAAGAUUUGCGGGUCCUUGGUAACUUACCGGCCUUGCUCAUUCUUGAGGUGACCGGACUGGGGAAGUACAGCCGUACAACCUUCACAGUGAGCCAAAAAGUUGGGUUCCAAUGCUUGAGAAAGUUCUCUUUGGAAUCAUGUAAAUGGAUGGUGUUUGAAGCAGGAUCCAUGCCUAAGCUAGAAAAACUCGAAAUUGGAAUUUGUUUCUACAGCUCAUCCGAUUCUAGCAUUGCUAGUGGUAGUGGUGGAAGUGCUUUCGAUUUCGGAAUGGAAAACAUCCCAUCCCUUAUUACUCUCAAAUUUGCAAUAUAUGGCUGGCAUGAUAGCACUCUGGCGGCUGCACAGGCUGCUAUGGAGAGAGCUGCCGGUAAACAUCCCAACCGCCCUACUCUAAUCUUUCAGAAAAUCAGCAGCUAG
rnacentral:rRNA from 1 species